CAAACACGGAGGGCAGCAGGCACUUUCAGGGAAAGUUCAAAAGAAUGUCAGUAGAUGAAGUGCAGCCCUCCUCCUCCGUAUAGCAGAUACUGGAAGCAGCCGAGUAGGUGAGGGCUGGAGAUCUUCGUCACAUGCCUUGAUUAUCUGUGAUGGGGGCUAGCCAUGGAGAUUGGAUUUAUUCGUGGACCCCUAACCACUGAAGAACGCCUUAGACGCAAGAAUAAAGGCUUGUGUAUGUAUUGCGGCAAGGCAACUCACACCGUCAGGGACUGCCCCAUCCUUGAAAAGAAUAAAACCAUGGGAACGAAAAUGCUUGAAGAAAGAAGCCAUCGUUGAUACGGGGGCUCACUCAAAUUAUAUUGAUAAGUCACUAGUUUUCUCCAAUAAAAUACCACUGAUUAAAAAAAAUCA